CGCGCAGGCGCAAUGACCGGGUGGCGGAGCCUGAGGAAGCAGCUUCGCUGAGGAGCGGCGGAGGACGCUGGGUGCCUGCGCUCGAUUUAAGAACAGAAGUCAGCCUCUAUUAGAAAUCUGAAAAGCUUUCUACUAUUCAAACCAUGACACUUCCAUUCCGAAAAGAUUUGGACAAGUACAAGGAUCUUGAUGAGGAUGAAAUUCUUGGCAAGCUGUCAGAAGAAGAGCUAAAACAACUGGAAACUGUUCUGGAUGACCUUGAUCCUGAGAAUGCACUUUUGCCAGCAGGCUUCCGACAAAAGGAUCAGACUACUAAAAAGUCCGCAGGCCCUUUUAACAGAGAGCAACUCCUUGCUUAUUUGGAGAAGCAAGCACUGGAACAUAAAGACAGGGAGGAUUUUGUUCCUUUUACAGGGGAAAAGAAAGGGAAAAUAUUUAUCCCCAAGCAGAAGCCUGUACAGUCUUUCAUAGAAGAAAAAGUCUCUCUUGAUCCAGAACUGGAGGAAGCUUUAACAAGUGCUACAGAUACAGAACUGUGUGAUCUUGCAGCUAUCCUGGGAAUGCACAACUUGAUACCCAACUCUCAGUUCUGUGAUGUAGUAGGAAGCAGUAAUGGUGUCAGCAAUGAAAGCUUCACAGAUAUUGUAAAAGGUGAAAGGAUUAUACCAGUUUUAGAUGAACCACCAAAUCCCACAAAUGUGGAGGAGAGUUUGCAAAGAAUUAAAGUUAAUGACUCUCGCCUUGGUGAAGUUAAUCUGAACAAUAUCAAGAACAUCCCAAUUCCAACACUGAAAGAAUUUGCCAAGGCUUUGGAAACCAACACUCAUGUGAAGAAUUUCAGCCUUGCAGCCACUAGAAGUAAUGACCCUGUUGCUGUUGCUUUUGCAGACAUGCUGAGAGUGAACAAAACAUUGAAAAGUCUAAAUAUAGAAUCCAAUUUCAUCACCGGAGUUGGCAUUCUGACAAUGAUCGAUGCUCUAAAAGAGAAUGAAACCCUAACAGAGGUCAAAAUCGAUAACCAGAGGCAGCAGUUGGGAACAGCUGUAGAAAUGGAAAUUGCCAAAAUGCUUGAGGAGAACACAAAUAUCCUUAAAUUUGGAUACCAUUUCACACAACAGGGACCACGAACCAGGGCAGCUGCAGCUAUCACAAAAAACAAUGAUUUGGUCUGGAGUAUACGAGUAAAAUUUUCUGCAAAUGCCUUUUCAUCUCUCCAGCCCUGACGCUACAGAGACAGGUUAUUGUGAAUACCCAGUUGGGUAUUGAGCACUGAAAUGGAAAUGUUUAGUCUCGCAUCACUGUCUUUUUCGCAAGAGAAGGGUUGAAGGAGACUACCACUAAACUUUGUGGCUGCUAGAAUUGUAUUGUGUGAAGAUUUCAAAAGUCCUCAAGGCUCAUUGUGGACGUUGGCAAUCUCAGACUUCAUUUACCUGGGUAGAAGGGAAAAGACUGGAAACCCCAUUCCUUUUUAGUAAAGUUAUAUUUAGAUCUGUAUGAUAUGCAUCACAUUUUUCAGUUUGAGACAUAGUAACAGCACCAGACUGCAAAAUCAGUUUGAGAACUUUUUUGUAUUUCAAGACUUUAGGUAUACUUUCCACUAAAAUAAUGUAAAUUGUGAAAUGAGUGUAAUUCUUGUCUAUAUUCAAAGAAUGACUCAUGAAGGGAUCAGUGAGCAAACAGUGGAGUAUGUUUCUGAUAGGAAAUCUGGGGAUGUUUAUUUAAAUGGAGGGAUUUAUAUAUUUUUGGGAACAAUGUUUCAGAGAAAAGGGAUUCUUCACACAGAACAAUUGGACUCUUAUUUUGUAGCUAUUACUUGAGCUCUCUUGUUCACAUACACUGAACAUAAAUCUUUCACAGCUGUCAGUUGCAGUUCUUCCUUUUUAAUUUUUUUGUUGAUUGGUUAAUAUGCUUUCUUGAUACUUCAAUAAAGCUUAAAAGUCAUCUCUUUUUUUAUGUAAACAGGAAUUGAAUAAGGGCUCCAUUAUAUUUUGGAGAGCUAAUUAAAAUACGAGGAUGAGUGUCCUGAAAAAUCUACAUCUGUACUAAACUAAACAAAAAAAAAGAGAAAAAGCGUCCAAAGUAGCUUACCUUUCUGAAUAGUUAGAGACAGUACUUUGUUCUGAUGUCUCUUAACUGGACUUCAGAUUGAUUUGGUAUGUUCAUCAGCAUUGUUUAUAUUCUUGUAUAAAAAUUUGUAUCUAAAUACCUUAAGUGACAUAGGUGUUUUCUAGCAGUAGUGGACAUGCAUUCUUUAAGAAAUGCUGGUAGUGUGCAUAGGAAAAGCAGUUUCAUGCAUUUUAAAUCAGGCUCCUGUGGCAGCUUGCAACUAAGAAAUCCUGUUUUAAAGCUAGUAAACUGAAAAUAGCUGUCAACCAUACUUUCUGUGAAAUAGUGACCACUGUGUUAGAUGGAUCUUUACCUUCCACUGUGAAAAAAGGUCCUCUUGUCCCAUCAUCACAACAAACUUUACAGAAACUUAAAAAAGGUAGUGUUUAAUCCGCAGGGGGUACAUUCUUGCUGUUAUUUCGAGCCAUUUGUUUUAAAAAGAAAUAUUUAGAGCUCUGUUUCUAGGAAAACAAAUUAGUGAACAAAAGUCACUUCUGUUUCUGUACAUAACAGCAUAGACUCUUAGGUUUUAUUUGUGCUACUUUUGAAUUGCACUAUACUUGAUUACACAGUAUUGACCAUUAGACCAUAGCAGAACAUGUUCCAAGGAAUUGGACAGUUUAUUUACAGUAACUUUUAUAAUUCAACUAAUGUAACUUUCCAGUGUCCAUAAAAUGAACAUAAUUACAGUAUAUUUUUGUAAAAGCCAUAUAGGUGAUGUGGAGAAAAAAUGGGAUUUUUGCAUCAUGUUUAAGUAGAGUCUUAAUUGUAAAACUUGUUCUUUAGAAAGGUCCCCUAUUGUGUCUAUUUCUGUGUUACUCCAAAUCACAUUUUAGGUCUUUAGAAAGUACAGACUUCAGUCUGAAAAUGAAUUAAAAUUGUACGGCAAAUACAGUGCAACUUUUACACUAUAUAUAGCACCUUCAAUGAAGAGAUAACUAAGUUUUAUAAGGGUGGAAAAAUGAAUUACCAUUUCAAAAGUGGAAAUGUUGUGAUUAAUUCUGAAUAAACAUCAGUGUAUUGUGGCCUAAAAGACAUGGAUGUAACCAUGUGAAAAUGAAAGGAAGUUGAAAUGAAUGUUAUUGAAAAACCAAAGAUUUCCUACUCUGCACAUUUUUUAAUAGACAGAAAUGUGAAUUGUUGGUCAUAAGAGAUUCCUUUUGCCUUAGUUUACAAUAUUUAAUUUUUUACAUAAUUUAAGCAGUCUUUGUGAGAAUGCUAUCCUAAAGUUUAAGUUCUUGUACAUGUACAUGCAAACUCAUUUUAAAAGCUAAAUGUCUUUUCAAGAGAUGGUGCUAUAGAGGUGUGGCCAAAGCAUGGUAUACAAUUGAGUUUUCUGAAGCUAUUUUACGGUGCCUAAUGUUUAAAACACCAGGUAAUAAUUUUGUGUCAAAUCAGCAAAAAGCAGAAAAACCUUCUCUUCCUUCUGUUGUCUAAAGUGUGCAUAUUUACAAAAUCUCAUUUUUGUAAUACCUGUUUUAUCUGCAUCUAGGCAUAUUAGCCGGUUGCUUUAUACUUGUAAUUGAAGAUAGAGGAGGAAAGUGAAACGCAAUGAUGUGGGGGGAGAAUUGGUAACGAAAAGCAUUUCUUGUUCUCUAUGCUACUUGUUUGAAUUCUGUCCGGCUCAUCAGUGGCGUAAGUGGAAAUCAAUGGUUGGUUGAAGACACUGUGGUCAGGAGUCCUGUCACAGUUGAAAGUUGUGCCAGAUUCUUAAUGGCAUAGCACCAGUGAAAUCAGUUUGAUAGUUCUGUUAUGAACGGCUGAGGGGCCACAUGGCGGCAGCAACCUUAGCAAAGAAAUCAGACAGAGUGAACAUAGAGAAUGAACCAUUCAGGCUUGUUCCCUCCAACUUAGGUUUGAGAUACAUUUGGAAGACCAAUAUAAAGAUGCUUUAAUAAUUGCUGCUUUUGUGUGUGGAUAAAUAAAGGAAUCCUGUCUCCAGAACUGUCAAGUUACCGUAAUCAAACUCAGCAAGCAAAGCUGACUUCUUGAUUUAUGGACUUCAAAUAUAUAGUAAGCUCUUGGAUAUGAUGAGCUCAUAUUUUAUCAGUGGUAUUUCUAUAGCAAUAAAUGACUAUAAAAAACAGGGUACUUUUCCAAAAAAGGUGGUGAUUAUGUGCUUUCUUUAGUCUAAUUGAUUCAUAGUUAAAUCACUUUGCUUUUUAAAAUAUGCAUUAAAUCUGGAAAUCAAGUAACCACACACUUUGAUAGUUUGGGGUUCCAUUUUUAAUAUACAGAAUCAUAGACUAAAUAUGUACCCCAAACAUUCUACAAAUUAUCUACUUACAAUUAUACUCUAGAAAAAUGUCCUCAUCAUCUCCACAGCUUUUAAGUAUGAAUAAUGCUGAUUGUAAGCUAUGAAUUACAGAGUCUGUUAAAUUUAAGUUUCUGUUGAGGAAACAUGAACUGAGUAUUUUAGCAUAUCAGCACUGUAGGCUGUCAAGUUGUAUUACAUUAAAUUUUCUGAAACAUA